AGCAUAUCUUGCUUUAUGGGAGACUUCCGCUCGAACGGGAUUGGAGCGUGGAGGCGUAGUGAUUCACACAAUGCACCAUCUUCAGGGUUCUUGGAGAGCAGCCAAAAGAACCAAGUGAGAGUGGUUGCAAUGGCGUCUCUUCCAGCAAGCAUGAAACUCUUGAUGAUGUCUUUGAGGAAGUUAUCAUCUCUUGGAUUCAAAAGCUCAUACUUGGAAGUAUCUAGAUUCAUAUAUAUACUUUGCACAUGAUCUGUCGAAAGCAGCAUUAGCUUCGGUCAUCUUCUUCUCUUCUCCAAAUCCAAUCCAGUUUUGCAGCUUCCA